rnacentral:tRNA from 1 species
UCCCAUAUUGUCUAGUGGUUAGGAUACCUGGCUCUCAUCCAGGAGGCCCGGGUUCAAUUCCCGGUAUGGGAA